rnacentral:rRNA from 1 species
UCAGGAUGAACGCUAGCGACAGGCUUAACACAUGCAAGUCGAGGGGCAGCAUAAAAGUAGCAAUACUUGGUGGCGACCGGCGCACGGGUGAGUAACGCGUAUGCAACCUACCUAUCAGAGGGGAAUAACCCGGCGAAAGUCGGACUAAUACCGCAUAAAACAGGGGCACCGCAUGGUGAUAUUUGUUAAAGAAAUUCGCUGAUAGAUGGGCAUGCGUUCCAUUAGGUAGUUGGUGAGGUAACGGCUCACCAAGCCGACGAUGGAUAGGGGAACUGAGAGGUUGGUCCCCCACACUGGUACUGAGACACGGACCAGACUCCUACGGGAGGCAGCAGUGAGGAAUAUUGGUCAAUGGGCGAGAGCCUGAACCAGCCAAGUCGCGUGAAGGAGGAAGGAUCUAUGGUUCGUAAACUUCUUUUGCAGGGGAAUAAAGUGCAGGACGUGUCCUGUUUUGUAUGUACCCUGAGAAUAAGGAUCGGCUAACUCCGUGCCAGCCGCCGC